GACAUAAACAAAUGCGGGGCCUGUGCGGCUACAUACAAACACGAGCAGCCACAUUCCUCAUUAUGUAACCAGCUCAGCAUAGAAAACAUCCACACUGGCCCUAUAAGUGGACUGAAAACUUGCUUAGCCUGCUAGUGUGGUGUGUUAUUAUUAGUUACGACAAUCUCAGUGGUCAGAUUACUGUACUGUCACCAUCCUGAGAGGUGUAUACAACACCUUAAAAGAACAUUUUGUGAUAAUCCGUGGAAGCAAAUAUUGUAAUGUCAUCAAGUCCAAACCAGUCAUGUGUACACACAGAACAGACCUUUGAUCACUCGUGAUGAAACGGGGUUUUUUAAAACUUUUUUUUAAGAAGCCAUCUCACCUUGUAAUAUUUACCUACAUGUCGUGUAAAUGUCACGUUUUCACAAGGCUCAGAGGCUUUACCGUGUUCAUAAGUGUGGAUUCAGAGUUGGCCACUAGCACAAAGACAUCGGCAUCCAGGCAGAAUUUGUCAAUCCAGCUGUCCAGUUGUGAUGUGACAUCUGUCCCUGGGCUAAGGAGUAGAGGAGAGGAUCUGAUUAAUGUAUCCCGUUACCUGUCUACGAGCACCAGGUCGUCUCGGAGCAGAGCACACUUUGUCUUUGGCCAAAACACACGGACAAGACAGCCGGCGUCCAGACUCUCAUCCAUGUGGAGCGCGUGAGCCAGCUGGUUUACAGUCUGAGGAGGAGAUGUAAACGGGCUCAAGUUAGAGUUGUGGAUGUUACAAAUGAUUUGAUAGCAUGUUUCCUGUCGUUGAUCUAGCUAUUUAUGUUAUCUCAGGCUGGAGAGUCGGAGCACACAGAUUCUUCAUAGUUAUAUUACUUAUUUUAAGGGAUUUCAUACUUCUAAGAUGUAUGUAUCAUUAUGAAGCGAAUUAUUUGACAAGACGUUUUAUUUAUCAGCCAAUAAGAUAAUAUUUUAAGAGGGAAAUGUUAGGUAGCUACUGGGUUUGGCGUCAACUAGAGAGGACAAUAGAUGGAUUAAAACUGAUUCAGCUGCUUGCUAUGUUGAACUUGUGUAGACUUCAUUCUUUUUAGUCAGUUAAAGUUAAUAGAAAGGUUGUCUAUAAUACUGUUUAUACAAGAAUUUAGAAAAGUCAGUACAAAGCUAUGAGUAUCAUUCUGUUAUCAUGGUGAGGAAGUUAACUUUUAAGCUUGUACAAUUGUGUGACUCCUUUGAGUUUAACACUUCCACAACAACGGUAAAAUCAAGUGUCAAUCGACAGAGGAAAUGUGAGGAUUCCCAACAUCAGUGACAGUCUGAUAAGUGAACAUGGCCGGAUUCUGUGUCCCCCUUACAACAACAUAAAUACAAAGUAGUUCUCCAUAGAACAACAAAAACCUGUAAGAAUAUGAAUGGGACACAGACCAGGGCUCAUACCAGACUAAUUUAAACCUAACAAAACUUUGCAAAGUGGUAUUGAAACAACACUGACCUUGAUGCUCUUCUCCUCCUCAGAGCCCUCUGUCUUGAGGUAGGCCUUGUCUUCAUCAGUGCCCUCUACACUGAGGAAGCAGUUAGUGGUGUGGCCAAUCCCGCUGGGCAGCACGCGGUCCCUCAGCAUGGCGUUGACCACUGUGCUUUUACCAUUACUUGUCCUAAAAACAAAACAGUCAUUGACUCUAUGUCAAUACACAUGAUUUGCUCAUACUUAAAAUUACAACAACAACAAAACUAUUCAGAAACAAAAUCCUGAAUGUUUUUUUAGCAGGACCGGGGAUUUCCUGCUUGUCAUUUUUUCUCGUUGAAGAUUUUGGUUUAGAUUAUUUGUUUUUUUUAAACAACAAAUCAAAUAUCACAGAUGCCGAAGACAAUGAACUUAUCAUUUAUUUUCAUAAAAAUAGAGGGGGUAGGACCAGAACGUUUUUAAACUUCCUCUUGACCCUUUUGAACAUGAAGGAAACUACAUGAGUAUUUAUUUUAUACCUUGUAAAGUCUUUUGUUAUUUUCGUUAAAAUGUGGGGGGUUUUUUCCAACAUGUUCAAUAAAUUGAAUAAAUCUACUAAAAUUGAACACAUGUAAAGUCCAGGGUGUAACAUCAGAACUUACUUUAAAUGUCAACGUAACACUAAUGUGAUCAACCAAUGGGUCAGACUGAGUAAAUAAUCUGGUAACACUUUGCAAUAGGAAGUGUCAACAAUGCAAGGAGGUUUAAGGAACAGCAACUCAUCGUCCAAUCAAGCAGAGGAAAUCUCCCAGUAUUUCUCUGGCACACCCCCCCCAUCGUGUUGUGGAUUAAGGCGUGCAGGGCAAGACGUGGUUCAAUUAACAUCAGUUCAAACUCAAUUAUAAAGAAUGGGUUUUACCAAGAGGAAAUGAUGGAAGUGACUGAAAAAUGUCACUUCAAUGAUACUUGCGAAAUGAAAAGAACAUAAAAGUUCAGGCAAAAGUCGUACUGAAAUGGUUUCGAGUAGGAAUAGUUUAACUCUUGUACAUCACAACAAUAAGGGCUAUAAAGGUUGCUUUUAUGAAAAACAACAUUUGAGGUUUGUGUAAAGAUGUUUUUACCUGCCAAAAAAGGCCACUUUCAUGUGUCUGCGUGCCAGCACCUCCUUAAUGACAGCAAGUUUGUCAGUAUACGCCUGGAUCUCCAACUUUUGAUCCUGACUCGCAAUGUUCUGCAAAGCUUUGUUCCCACAGGUUUCUGUCCAAAAAAACAGACAUACAACAGCCACUUCAUGAGCAAUUCAGACAGUUAGCUAGCACGUAAUAAACAUGAUGUAUGUUUGUCUCAGCUGCUUUGAUACAUUUCACGGAAUAAAAUUACAAUUCUCAAA